rnacentral:rRNA from 1 species
GAGGAAGGCGGGCGGCGUGCCUAAUACAUGCAAGUCGAGCGAACAGACGAGGAGCUUGCUCCUCUGACGUUAGCGGCGGACGGGUGAGUAACACGUGGAUAACCUACCUAUAAGACUGGGAUAACUUCGGGAAACCGGAGCUAAUACCGGAUAAUAUAUUGAACCGCAUGGUUCAAUAGUGAAAGACGGUUUUGCUGUCACUUAUAGAUGGAUCCGCGCCGCAUUAGCUAGUUGGUAAGGUAACGGCUUACCAAGGCGACGAUGCGUAGCCGACCUGAGAGGGUGAUCGGCCACCCUGGAACUGAGACACGGUCCAGACUCCUACGGGAGGCAGCAGUAGGGAAUCUUCCGCAAUGGGCGAAAGCCUGACGGAGCAACGCCGCGUGAGUGAUGAAGGUCUUCGGAUCGUAAAACUCUGUUAUUAGGGAAGAACAAAUGUGUAAGUAACUAUGCACGUCUUGACGGUAACUAAUCAGAAAGCCACGGCUAACUACGUG